GUGGUUGCAUGUGAAUGGAAGGCUUGGAUUAACUGGACUUUUCCCUUAAGUCUUCUUCUACACCACAACUUCUUCCUCAUUUCUUCUACUAACAAACAAACCCGCAAGAAAAUGGUGAGUUUGGAGAAAUUAAAAGCUUCGGCGGUGAAGACAUUAGGGAAAACAUAACGUGUGAGUGUUCGAGUGAGAUUGGGAGUUCAAAACUUGGUUUCUGUUUAAGGACUCCAGAUUGUGCAGAAGACUUCAACCGAAGCCAUUUUUCUCAAAUAUUUCUAGAAGUUACAGACUGAGCAGGUAUGCCACUGUCCCUCUUUUUCCUCUUCCAGUUAGUUAAUCUAGUGAGACUUAUGUAACCUAGAAUCACAAUAGGAUAUUAGGGAUUUGUUAGAAAUCAAUUAGACAAAGCUAAACACUCUAGGAAACUAGAAAUUAAUCUCACUUUCUACAACAGUUGCGCGUAUUGCGGAACUGUUCUUCAAGCUUUCAAUCCAACCUUUUCUUGUGAUUCUUUGGCAUGUUGCUGCUACUUCUUUGAGGUAAAAUGGGUAGUAGUUUAGUUCAUACAAAGAUGGCAUAUCUAGAUUGCAUUUCAUAGGAUGUGUUCUUUAAAAAUGCAUAGAGGAAGUGGAUUUUUAAAUGGAAAAAGGGUGAGUGUGUUCAUCUUGUGCUUAAUAUUAUCUAAUCUAUUUUAAUUGUAUUCAAUAAGUUUUUGUUAUGUUUGAAUGUGAUUGACGAUGAUGAACGUCUUAAAACCAGAAUAGAAAAGAAGGAGACGGAUCAAAAUGCCCUUGAAAUCAUGCUUCAUAGUUUGCUGGCCCGACAGAUCUGAUAACACGUCAAGGGGCCUUCACGAAAGCCAACUGGGCCACAGGCCAAGCAUGGGCACUUCCCAUGGGCUGAAUAAUUGGAGAGGUUGGGGCCUUAGGGAAGAAUCAAGAAAAAAAAAUUAAUUAAUAGAAUUGGGAAAAAAAAUUUGUAAUUAAGUGGAAAUUUGUAAAAGUUAUAUUGGAAAAUGGUUAAGUGUAACAUGAGAGAGAAAUUUGGGUAA